rnacentral:rRNA from 1 species
UACGUAGGGUGCGAGCGUUAAUCGGAUUUACUGGGCGUAAAGCGUGCGCAGGCGGCCCGUUAAGACAGGUGUGAAAUCCCUCGGCUCAACCUAGGAAUUGCGCUUGUGACUGGCGGGCUCGAGUACGGGAGAGGGGGGUGGAAUUCCUGGUGUAGCAGUGAAAUGCGUAGAGAUCAGGAGGAACACCGAUGGCGAAGGCAGCCCCCUGGGCCUGUACUGACGCUCAGGCACGAAAGCGUGGGGAGCAUACAGG